UACGUAGGGCGCAAGCGUAGUCCGGAAUUAUUGGGCGUAAAGAGCUCGUAGGCGGUUUGUCGCGUCUGCCGUGAAAUCCCGAGGCUUAACCUCGGGCCUGCGGUGGAUACGGGCAGACUAGAGGUAGGUAGGGGAGAAUGGAAUUCCCGGUGUAGCGGUGAAAUGCGCAGAUAUCGGGAGGAACACCGGUGGCGAAGGCGGUUCUCUGGGCCUUACCUGACGCUGAGGAGCGAAAGCGUGGGGAGCGAACAGG
rnacentral:rRNA from 1 species